AGCGCAGGCUAAUUGAAGGGAAGUGAAAUAUGUUCUGGCCGAGUAAGCACAGAACACUGUAGAUAUUAUAUAACACAUCAUUUUUUGUCUUUCUUCAGGCUGCUCAGCUGUAAAACCACAUGAAUACAUUCUGCGGGGAUCACUACUACGAGGUCUGCUGCAAACACCACUGUAGUUCCGUUUCCAACAAUUUAUGUCAAUCCCAGUUAAACGAUUCCUGGGUCAGGAUUAAAGGUAACCCCCUGCAAGCAGUGUCAGGUAGCGGAUCUGUGAACCAAGGAAACACAAGUAGACCCCUUGGCAUCACUACAUCACUAGAGGCCUUUUUCUUAUAAGGGGAAUCAAUUAAUAUCCGUAACACUAGAAAGUUGAAACAGAAGAGCCAAAACCGGAAGAUCAAGACGAGUGAUACGGUUCUGCAUGACUUCUGCAGCACAAUCUGCAUUGUUUCUAUUUUCCCUGCCCUAGGAUACAGAGCAAAUGUAGUUACCUUCAUUCUUCUCUCGGAUGGCUCUCAAUACAUUAAAGAACAAAUAAGAGAUUGAGAA